rnacentral:rRNA from 1 species
GAUGAACGCUGGCGGCGUGCCUAAUACAUGCAAGUCGAGCGAACAGACGAGGAGCUUGCUCCUCUGACGUUAGCGGCGGACGGGUGAGUAACACGUGGAUAACCUACCUAUAAGACUGGGAUAACUUCGGGAAACCGGAGCUAAUAUCGGAUAAUAUAUUGAACCGCAUGGUUCAAUAGUGAAAGACGGUUUUGCUGUCACUUAUAGAUGGAUCCGCGCCGCAUUAGCUAGUUGGUAAGGUAACGGCUUACCAAGGCGACGAUGCGUAGCCGACCUGGGAGCGUGAUAGGCCACGCUGGAAGUGAGACAGGGUCCAGACUCCUGCGGGAGGCACCAGUAGGGAAUCGUCCGCAAUGGUGGGAAGCCUGACGGAGCAACGCCACGCGUGUGAUGAAGGCCUUCGGAUCGUAAAAAUCUGUUACUGGGGAAGAACAACUGUGUAAGUAACUAUGGACGUCUUGACGGUACCUAAUCAGAAAGCCACGGCUAACUACGUG